rnacentral:rRNA from 1 species
CCUACGGGUGGCAGCAGUCGAGAAUUUUUCACAAUGGGCGCAAGCCUGAUGGAGCGACGCCGCGUGGGGGAUGAAUGGCUUCGGCCCGUAAACCCCUGUCAUUUGCGAUCAAACCGCAUUAUUUAAAAGAUGAUGCGCUGAUAGUAGCGAAAGAGGAAGGGACGGCUAACUCUGUGCCAGCAGCCGCGGUAAUACAGAGGUCCCAAGCGUUGUUCGGAUUCACUGGGCGUAAAGGGUGCGUAGGCGGCCGGGUAAGUCUGCUGUGAAAUCCCGCAGCUCAACUGCGGAACUGCAUUGGAUACUAUCCGGCUCGAGGAAUGGAGGGGAGACUGGAAUUCUCGGUGUAGCAGUGAAAUGCGUAGAUAUCGAGAGGAACACCAGUGGCGAAGGCGAGUCUCUGGACAUUUCCUGACGCUGAGGCACGAAAGCCAGGGGAGCAAACGGGAUUAGAUACCCUUGUAGUC